AGUGGGUGGGGUAACGGCUCACCUAGGCGACGAUCCCUAGCUGGUCUGAGAGAACGAUCAGCCACACUGGGACUGAGACACGGCCCAGACUCCUCCGGGAGGCAGCAGUGAGGAAUUUUCCGCAAUGGGCGAAAGCCUGACAGAGCAAUACCGCGUGAGGGAUGAAGGAUUUUGGUCUGUAAACCUCUUUUCUCAAGAAAGAAGUUCUGACGGUACUUGAGGAAUAAGCAUCGGCUAACUCCGUGCCAGCAGCCGCGGUAAUACGGGGGAUGCAAGCGUUAUCCGGAAUCAUUGGGCGUAAAGCGCCUGUAGGUUGUUUAAUAAGUCUGUUGUUAAAGACUAGGGCUCAACCCUAGAAAAGCAAUGGAAACUACUAGACUAGAGUAUGGCAGGGGUAGAGGGAAUUUCUAGUGUAGCGGUGAAAUGCGUAGAUAUUAGAAAGAACACCGGUGGCGAAAGCGCUCUACUGGACCAUUACUGACACUCAGAGGCGAAAGCUAGGGUAGCAAAAGGGAUUAGAUACCCCUGUAGUCCUAGCCGUAAACGAUGGAUACUAGAUGUUGCAUUUAACGUGCAGUAUCUUAGCUAACGCGUUAAGUAUCCCGCCUGGGGAGUACGCUCGCAAGGGUGAAACUCAAAGGAAUUGACGGGGGCCCGCACAAGCGGUGGAGCAUGUGGUUUAAUUCGAUGCAACGCGAAGAACCUUACCAGGGCUUGACAUACUACAAAUUUCUUUGAAAAAAGAAAGUGCCUUCGGGAAUGUAGAUACAGGUGGUGCAUGGCUGUCGUCAGCUUGUGUCGUGAGAUGUUGGGUUAAGUCCCGCAACGAGCGCAACCCUUAUUUUUAGUUACCAAUUCGUUGGGUUUUCUAGAAAGACUGCCGGUGACAAACCGGAGGAAGGUGAGGAUGACGUCAA
rnacentral:rRNA from 1 species